rnacentral:rRNA from 1 species
CAGCCGCCGCGGUAAUACGGAGGGUGCAAGCGUUAAUCGGAAUUACUGGGCGUAAAGCGUGCGUAGGCGGCUUCUUAAGUCGGAUGUGAAAUCCCUGAGCUUAACUUAGGAAUUGCAUUCGAUACUGGGAAGCUAGAGUAUGGGAGAGGAUGGUAGAAUUCCAGGUGUAGCGGUGAAAUGCGUAGAGAUCUGGAGGAAUACCGAUGGCGAAGGCAGCCAUCUGGCAUAAUACUGACGCUGAGGUACGAAAGCAUGGGGAGCAAACAGGAUUAGAUACCCGCGUAGUCCCUGUCUCUUAUAC